rnacentral:rRNA from 1 species
GACGUAGGGUGCGAGCGUUGUCCGGAUUUAUUGGGCGUAAAGGGCGCGUAGGCGGCAGAUUAAGUCAGCUGUGAAAUCUCCGAGCUUAACUCGGAACUGUCAGCUGAUACUGUUUUGCUAGAGUGCGGAAGGGGCAAUCGGAAUUCUUGGUGUAGCGGUGAAAUGCGUAGAUAUCAAGAGGAACACCUGAGGUGAAGACGGGUUGCUGGGCCGACACUGACGCUGAGUGCGCGAAAGCCAGGGGAGCAAACGGG